GCCUCGUUAUAUCAGUCGGUAGAUAGUGUGACUCUUACGCAACAGCAGCCGAUUGAUCACACAGUCAUGGGUUCGAGCCCCAUACGAGGCU
rnacentral:tRNA from 2 species